rnacentral:sRNA from 1 species
UGAUAAGACGGGAUAAAAGCUUUAUAGC